rfam:Gossypium arboreum cultivar AKA8401 contig_67128_1, whole genome shotgun sequence.
AUUUCGUGAUUAGGGCACUUCCGUAAUAAUUCCUUGUACCUUUCCCAUGCCUCAUAUAAGGACUCCUCAUCCAUUUGUUGGAAAGCAGUGAUCUCGUUCCUCAACUU